AUUGAACGCUGGCGGCAGGCCUAACACAUGCAAGUCGAACGCAUCGCAAGAUGAGUGGCAGACGGGUGAGUAACGCGUGGGAACAUACCCUUUUCUACGGAAUAGCUCUGGGAAACUGGAAUUAAUACCGUAUACGCCCUACGGGGGAAAGAUUUAUCGGGGAAGGAUUGGCCCGCGUUGGAUUAGCUAGUUGGUGGGGUAAAGGCCUACCAAGGCGACGAUCCAUAGCUGGUCUGAGAGGAUGAUCAGCCACAUUGGGACUGAGACACGGCCCAAACUCCUACGGGAGGCAGCAGUGGGGAAUAUUGGACAAUGGGCGCAAGCCUGAUCCAGCCAUGCCGCGUGAGUGAUGAAGGCCUUAGCGUUGUAAAGCUCUUUCACUGAUGAAGAUAAUGACGGUAGUCGGAGAAGAAGCCCCGGCUAACUUCGUGCCAGCCGCCGCCGUAAUAC
rnacentral:rRNA from 1 species